rnacentral:lncRNA from 1 species
UAUGAAAAGUCAAUGUUUUAUCAAAAAAAUGAACUCCUUUUCUACUGAUUUUGUAACAUUUUGAAUGUUUCUGAAGAGUUCCUGUAUCCUCGGAUAAAAGUCUGCACUGGUUGCAGAAAACAACUCGACCUGCACACAUGGUGAAGGUUGCAGAUGUGCUCGGGUCUCUUCUUGGAAGAGGGAUUUUGCAGGAAGCGGUGAGCAGCAAGAGAACUACCAGAACAUUGGUACCUUGACUUCUGAUGUGUGAUGGAGGGAAACGUUUGGAUCUUCUCAGGAGGAUGCAAAUGAAAGCAUGAAGACUUCAGACAUCACAGAGGCUCAGAAAAAACUCAGAAAAAGACAGAGAAUGAGAGAACAGAAGAAGUUGAAGCAGCAGAAUCUUCUUCUAUGAGAUAUUCUUUUUGAAAUUUAUGCAAAGAGAAUGCAGCUUUGUAAAGGGAGCUGAGCAUAAUCCCAAACACUGAUGAGAAUGCUUGGACAAUGAAGACUCCUGUCUAAGAAGGACGAUAGAUUUGGAAAGUCCUAUAAAUCAAGAUACCAAAUGCCAGAGAGAGAAACACAGAAGAGGGAAAAAGACCCCUCACAAAGAAACUUCAGUGUUCCACUGUUCUUUUUGAAUCAGCUGGGCCUGGAUGAUGGAAAACAGUGUUAACAAGAAACAGGAGUUUCACAUUUAUUAUGCUUCCCCAGCCUUACAAAAUGAUUCAGGUUGAUAUGAUAAUUGAUUACAGUUAAUUUUAUCAUCAGAGCUCUCCACUUAAAUAAACUACGUACUUAAAGUACUUUGCCAAAGGUCCUACUCAUCAAGCAUGUAAUUCAACUGCACCAAAUUGUAAAUAUGUAAAAGUUACAUAUCUCAGUUUAUGCUACUCU